rnacentral:snoRNA from 1 species
UGUGUGUGUGUGUGUGUGUGUGUGUGUGUGUGUGUGUGUGUGUGUGUGUGUGUUAUACACACACACAAACACACACACACACACACACACACACACAGAUAUAAUAUAUAUAUAUAUAUAUAUAUAUAUAUAUAUAUAUAUAUAUAUAUAUAUAUAUAUCACAUAUAUAUCACAUAU